GACGAACGCUGGCGGCGUGCCUAAUACAUGCAAGUCGAACGCAUUUUCUUUCACCGUAGCUUGCUACACCGAAAGAAAAUGAGUGGCGAACGGGUGAGUAACACGUGGGUAACCUGCCCAUCAGCGGGGGAUAACACUUGGAAACAGGUGCUAAUACCGCAUAAUUCCAUUUACUGCAUGGUAGAUGGAUGAAAGGCGCUUUUGCGUCACUGAUGGAUGGACCCGCGGUGCAUUAGCUAGUUGGUGGGGUAACGGCCUACCAAGGCUGCGAUGCAUAGCCGACCUGAGAGGGUGGUCGGCCACACUGGGACUGGGACACGGCCCAGACUCCCUCGGGAGGCAGCCGUAGGGGAUCUUCGGCAAUGGACGCAAGUCUGACCGCGCAACGCCGCGUGAGUGCAGAAGGUUUUCGGAUCGUAAAACUCUGUUGUUAGAAAAGAACAAGGAUGAGAGUGGAAAGUUCAUCCCUUGACGGUAUCUAACCAGAAAGCCACGGCUAACUACGUG
rnacentral:rRNA from 1 species